UACGUAGGCAGCGAGCGUUGUUCGGAGUUACUGGGCGUAAAGAGUGCGUAGGCGGUUUUCUAAGUUUGGUGUGAAAUCUCCUGGCUUAACUGGGAGGGUGCGCCGAAAACUGGAAGGCUUGAGUAUGGGAGAGGUAAGCGGAAUUCCAGGUGUAGCGGUGAAAUGCGUAGAUAUCUGGAGGAACACCGGUGGCGAAGGCGGCAUCCUGGACCGAUAUUGACGCUGAUGCGCGAAAGCCAGGGGAGCAAACGGG
rnacentral:rRNA from 1 species